CCGCAAGGGGAGUGGCAGACGGGUGAGUAACGCGUGGGAACAUACCCUUCGGUUCGGAAUAACUCAGGGAAACUUGGGCUAAUACCGGAUACGUCCGUGAGGAGAAAGAUUCAUCGCCGAAGGAUUGGCCCGCGUAAGAUUAGCUAGUUGGUGAGGUAACGGCUCACCAAGGCUAUGAUCUUUAGCUGGUCUGAGAGGACGAUCAGCCACACUGGGACUGAGACACGGCCCAGACUCCUACGGGAGGCAGCAGUGGGGAAUAUUGGACAAUGGGCGCAAGCCUGAUCCAGCCAUGCCGCGUGUGUGAAGAAGGCCUUCGGG
rnacentral:rRNA from 1 species